AAACCAACAGGGAUUGCCCCAGUAACGGCGAGUGAAGCGGCAACAGCUCAAAUUUGAAAUCUGGCCCCCCCCCGCGGGGGGCCCGAGUUGUACUUUGGAGAGGACGCUUUGGGCGCGGCGCCGGCCGAGUGCCCUGGAACGGGCCGCCGCAGAGGGUGAGAGCCCCGUACGGCCGGACGCCCAGCCCGUGCAAAGCUCCUUCGACGAGUCGAGUAGUUUGGGAAUGCUGCUCAAAACGGGAGGUAAAUUUCUUCUAAAGCUAAAUACCGGCCAGAGACCGAUAGCGCACAAGUAGAGUGAUCGAAAGAUGAAAAGCACUUUGAAAAGAGGGUUAAACAGCACGUGAAAUUGUUGAAAGGGAAGCGCCUGGGGCCAGACGUGCGCCCCGCGGACCACCCGGCGCCUCGCGCGCCGGGGCACGCCGCGGGUGCGCAGGCCAGCAUCGGCUCCCCGCCGGGGGGACAAGGGCCGCGGGAACGUAGCUCCUCCGGGAGCGUUACAGCCCGCGGCGCCAUGCCCUCGGGGGGGCCGAGG
rnacentral:rRNA from 1 species